UCGGGUUAACGCCCAACUCAUUGUUUAUAUUUCAGCAGUAGGUGGACAUCAUACUUAGCGAUAGGCUCCAUCGUGCAUGAAUGGGGAAGAGAGUGAAAGAAGAGAACGUGGAGAAAGAAGGAAUGGAGAUAUUACGAAAGAGAGGAAAGAUAAAAGAGAGAAAGAAAAUGAGUAAAGAAGAUCAGGAAAGAGAGAGGAAAGAUAAAGAGAGCGAAGAGAGGAGAGAGAAAGAAAUAGACGACAAGAGGAGAGAAGGAGAUAAACAAAAAGAGGAGAUAGAAAGAGAGAUGAACGAAGAGAGGAAAAGAAAAAAGAGAUAGAUGAGAAGAGGAGAGAGAAAGAGAGAUGAGAUGAUGAGAGAAAGAGAUAAACGAGAAGAGAAAGAGAG
rnacentral:lncRNA from 1 species